CUAACAGUGGAGUGGGAAGGGGGGCGUUGCCGCCCUUUGUUGCCACGGCAACCAAAUGACACUCCCUCUUCCCAUUGGCCACUGAGGUUGAGAUCCCGCCUACACAGUCAAAAGGGACCAACUGAAAGCCGUCUGGGAGAAUACUGUCACUGUCCUCGUCAUGCUGCGCCCGAGAUGAAGAAACUGAAGUUUCAGUGAAGAAAGUGCACUACGUGCAUGUUAGACCCUGGCUGAUGCAAAUGACAGAAAUCCUGACUCACACUGGUUUACACUGACUGAGAAGGGAACUGGCUGGCUCGGGGGCUGAACACUUCCGGCUCAGCCUGACCUGGAGACCCACAUGCACCCGGGAGAUGCGGCUUCACACCUGACCCUGGCUUUGUGUCUUGGCUCGGCCAGUGAGUGGGCUAUUGCAGCUCCCCAUUCUUGUCAGCCUGAGCUGUCUCAGGAAAAAGGCUCUCGGGGGACAUGAGACGAAGAUCUCCAGCUCACUCUAACUGGAGUUGGGGAAGUAUGACCAUAAUGAUAAAAUGUCACUUUGGGAAGCUGAAGCAAGAGGAUUUCAAAUUCAAUCCUACCCUGGUCAAUAUAGUGACUUAAUGAUAUGUGUGUAUGGGGGGGGGGACAUAUGCGGCUCAGUGUGAAAGCCCUGAAUUCAAUUCCCAGUACCAAAACAAUAACAACAACCACCAAACCAAA